rnacentral:rRNA from 1 species
AACGAACGCUGGCGGCAUGCCUAACACAUGCAAGUCGAACGAGACCUUCGGGGCUUGUGGCGCACGGGUGCGUAACGCGUGGGAACCUGCCCUUAGGUUCGGAAUAACUCCCCGAAAGGGGUGCUAAUACCGGAUAAUGUCUUCGGACCAAAGAUUUAUCGCCUUUGGUUGGGCCCGCGUUGGAUUAGCUGGUUGGUAGGGUAAAAGCCUACCAAGGCGACGAUCCAUAGCUGGUCUGAGAGGAUGAUAAGCCGCACUGGGACUGAGACACGGCCCAGACUCCUACGGGAAGCAGCAGUGGGGAAUAUUGGAGAAUGGGCGAAAGCCUGAUACAGCAAUGCCGGGUGAGUGAUGAAGGCCUUAGGGUUGUAAAGCUCUUUUACCCGGGAUGAUAAUGACAGUACCGGGAGAAUAAGCUCCGGCUAACUCCGUG